GCCUAAUAUAAUCAGGAGAAUAU
rnacentral:snRNA from 1 species